rnacentral:lncRNA from 1 species
UUUAAAUUUUUAGAAUAGGUUGCAUUUUAUUUUCAGUGUGUAUGCUUGGCUUGAAUACUUUUUCUGAAGAUGUUUGACUGAAUAAUUUGCAUGAUGAGCCUAUUUGAUGAUGAUUUGAUGUGGAUGAUAAUUGAGCUGCGUUGCAUGUUGAUAUUCUGUGAAAUAGAUGGGUGAUGAAUUAUGAUUGUGGUUAUGAUGCUAAGCAGGGUGUAUGAAUGAAUAUUGUGCGAGAAAGCAUGGUUUGUGAGGUAUUGAGCUCCAGAGUUUUCAUUGUUGUAUGUGUUUUUCACAAGAAAGCAUAAAUGAUAUUACCUUAAUCUUGAUGAUUGAUUGAAUUACAUGUGAUUGCCAUAUGAUCAAGGCCAUUUUUGAAAACCCUUCUCUAGCCAAAAUUUCACCCAAAGUGCUUGAAAAUAUUAUACCCGUUUUGAACCUUAGCCUUAAACAGGAUGUGAACCCUUGUCUUGAAAUUCUUUACCUUGAGUUGGGAUGAACUUAAUUGUAUGUGAUGAAAAGGUUCAAGUUUGGGGUUGCAUGGGGAAAAUUGAAAGGCAAUUGAAAAGCAUUGAGCUCAAAUGUUGUGAAAGAAAAAUACAUGAGAAAAAGAAAAGAAAAGAAGAAAAGCAUGAAGAUGGGCUCAAUGCAAAAGAAAAGGGAAAAAGUUGGGGAUUAGUGAGAUUGGUGAGGAAAAGAGUUGUGCUUCAAUGUUGAAUACUAUGGUAGCUCUCUUAACUUAAGGAUUUUGCAUUCCAGAAAAACCAAUUCUUCUUGUUAGCCCAACCUCAUUACAAGCCUUGGAAAAGUCCUUUUGAUGGCAUUUGCAUGUGAAGAUUUUGAUUGUUUGAGAUGAAGGGAAAUUUUGUUUCAUGUGACUUGUGAAU